rnacentral:lncRNA from 1 species
UCUUCUAGUCUUGAUUUGACCGCUCCUUGCGAGGUCUGCUGGCAAGAAUCCUUUGCCAGAUGGCUUUUGUCCUGUCCUCUGUGUGAAAGGACUGUAUCUUCUACAUAGGAAUCUUGAAAUUCUCCUGCUAAACAUCUGUACUUGUUCUGGUCUUCUAGAGUUGAUGAAGACGAAGUCCUUGAUUCAAUAGAUUUCAUGGAGGCAUUUGCAAUUGGAUUGGCCUCGAAUGUGCAGUAAAAUUGCUGUUUCAUGUGGUCAAAGCAUUUGACCAUGAUUUCUUCUUCGGUGCAGUAAGGAUACUUUCGGG